AAAGAGCUCACGAUAUAUUUGAUUACCUUCCACACGACUCAAAGCUUUAGGAUUCCCAAAAGCACAUAUCAGGAAAAUCUCCUACAAGAUUGCACACAAUUUAAGGCAAUUAAAAAAUCUCCUACAAGAUUGCACACAAUUUAACGCAAUUAAAAGAUGAGAGAAAUUUCAAAGCAUAUCAUAGAAAAUCUCCUACAUUUUUGCAGCACUAUGCAUUGGUUAUGAACUAUGUAUGUCGGUUGUAAGAGCACUUGGGCAAACAUCACUUAAUCUACAUGGAAUUAAUUUCAUUUAAAAGCAUUCGAAUCAGUAAUCUAAUGCCAAACAACUUCAAGCUAAAUACAAGCAAUCAAUUUAUUAAGAAAACAAUUCGAACCUUGGCCACGAUAGAGAUAACCAAUCAGUUCGCAAAUUCGCAAAUCAAAAUCAACAAAGAGUGUCCCCUGCAAAAAUGAGAUCAAGUCGAACAUGUCAAGCAAGAAGCCGCAUUCAGAUUUAUUUCACCAAUCAGAAUCUGUUGCAUUCAAUAAUGUAUUAAAACCUAGGCUUCUUCGAUUGGGGCAAGAACACUGGUGGCAGCGCUGCACGACGAGCAAAAUUGAUGCCUAGGUUAUGGGCACAAGGCGCAGCGGCGACUGAAAGCAGCAAAUAGGAUGCCGGCGGUGCAGCAGCGGCUUGGCGAUGACGACGGCGCAGCAGCGGGUCGGCAAUAACAAUUGUGCAGCGACGGCAAUAGAAGCGCAAUGGAUUUAAGAUUUGGAGUAGUUUGGCUGAUGUGAAAUUGGAAAUUGGAUGUUACGAGAGAGAGAGAAACAAUGUGAUAGGAAAU
rnacentral:lncRNA from 1 species